AUCCUUCCCCAUUCCCUGUUGCCCCAUAGUGGACCCUGAUGGAUCAACCCCUCUCCCGCACCUGCUCUUGUUGCUGCUGAGCCAUCAGCUCCUUCCUCCGUUCCAAAGCCAUCUGCCGACGCCGAGCCUCCCAGUGGUAGGCGCUACCCAUGAUGGUGUGGUAAAAGAAAAUCCCAGCAGGGUGUGAGAGCAGGAAAAGCCCAAAAUGAUGCCACUGCACCCAAACACUUCUGUUGCCUCCCACCCCGAUCACACCUGCCUGUUACCCGGACCACCUCACAAUGUGGCCACUGUGGCCACUGCCAGGGCAACUGGGCAGCCCUCCUGAGGUGUUGAAGGUGGAGGCCAUUUUUACCAAGGCUCAUAGGGAGCACCUGUGAGUCCUCCAGUCCUGAAGAGGAAAGAUGGAGACUCUGCUCGGCCUGACUUCUCAGUGGGCCCUGGAGACAAUUUGACAGAACCGUUUGCAUUGAGUCAAGAUGAAAGAAAAUACAAACGGCAAAUGAGCUU